GCAGGAAAUGCAAAUUUUUCUAGUUUUUCUAGUUCUUUAUUAUUCUUCUAGUUGCUUCCGUACGUUUUUUGGCACUUAACUACUCCCUCAGUUUUUAUCCGAUUUUCGCCAUUCAAACUUUAAAAAAUUCUGCUAUUUCUGCUAAUGCGGGCUAUGACUUUUGGUGCUCAUAACUUCUAUACUUUUUGAGAUAUUGAAUUUUUUUUUGCAAUAUUUUUUGCCCAUUUCUGCCAUAUUAUCAGUGGCCUAACUGAUUUUCCUUGCCGGGAUGAC
rnacentral:lncRNA from 1 species